AUUGAACGCUGGCGGCAUGCCUUACACAUGCAAGUCGAACGGCAGCACGGGAGCAAUCCUGGUGGCGAGUGGCGAACGGGUGAGUAAAGUAUCGGAACGUGCCCAGUCGUGGGGGAUAACGUAGCGAAAGUUACGCUAAUACCGCAUACGAUCUAUGGAUGAAAGCGGGGGAUCGCAAGACCUCGCGCGAUUGGAGCGGCCGAUAUCAGAUUAGGUAGUUGGUGGGGUAAGGCCCACCAAGCCGACGAUCUGUAGCUGGUCUGAGAGGACGACCAGCCACACUGGGACUGAGACACGGCCCAGACUCCUACGGGAGGCAGCAGUGGGGAAUUUUGGACAAUGGGCGAAAGCCUGAUCCAGCCAUGCCGCGUGCAGGAUGAAGGCCUUCGGGUUGUAAACUGCUUUUGUACGGAACGAAAAGGACUGCCCUACUACGGUGGUCCCAUGACGGUACCGUAAGAAUAAGCACCGGCUAACUACGUGCCAGCCGCCGCAGUAA
rnacentral:rRNA from 1 species